rnacentral:rRNA from 1 species
GGUGAACGCUGGCGGCAUGCCUAAUACAUGCAAGUCGAACGGCAGCACAGUAAGAUCUUGCCUUUAAGGGUGGCGAGGGGCGGACGGGUGAGGCAUAGAUCGGAAUCUAAUUUUUCGUGGAGGAUAACGUAGGGCAACAUAUACUAAUACCGCAUACGUCCUACGGGAGAAAGCAGUGGUUCAUCGCACUUUUGGCGACUCAAUGAGCCGAUGUCGGAUUAGCUAGUUGGCGAGGUAAGGGCCCACCAAGGCAACGAUACGUAGCUGGUCUGAGAGGAUGAUCAGCCACACUGGAACUGAGACACGGUCCAGACUCCUACGGGAGGCAGCAGUAGGGAAUCUUGGACAAUGGGCGCAAGCCUGAUCCAGCCAUACCGCGUGAGUGAAGAAGGUCUUCGGGUUGUAAAACUCUGUUAUUAGGGAAGAAAAGCAGUGGGUUAAAACACGGCCGUUUUGACGGUACCUAAAGAGCAAGCACCGGCUAACUUCGUG